GCAAGUCGAACGAUCCUUCGGGAUAGUGGCAGACGAGCGAGUAUCGCGUACCUAAUCUGCCCAGAAGUCAUGGACAACUACGGAGACGUAGCUAAUCCAUGAUAGUAUCUUAAGGCUGAAAUGCCUAUAGAUUAAAGAUUUAUCGCUUCUGGAGGAGGGUGCGUCCUAUCAGGUAGUUGGUGAGGUAACUGCUCACCAAGCCUAUGACGGGUAGCCGGUCUGAGAGGAUGUCC
rnacentral:rRNA from 1 species